AAAAUAAAUAUAUAGAUUGCUAUACAAUAUUCAAAUACUAUCAUAAAAAUUUAUUUUUGUAUCUUACACCCGCCUAAAUAGGCGGGCCUUAUCUAGUACAAAAUAAAGCUUAGAAGUCAGAAAUUCAUCAGAUGGAAAAAAAAAAAGUCCGAAAUUCAUCCAUCAAUGACACUCCUAACUUCCUAUGUGACCUUUUUAAGUUUUAGCAU
rnacentral:sRNA from 1 species